CAUCACUUCCUGUAGAGAGGACUGAGUGACAGUUUGAUCCUGAAACUAAAGCCUGAAGGAUCUCCCUCAGACAACUUCCUUGAGAUGGUCAAGUGUUGAGUGAUAAGAACUGACUCCCCUUUUCCUUGACUCUCAGAUCUUCUUCAGGAAAGAGGAGAGUCCUGAAGGAUGAGGAGGUGCAGGAGAACGUGGGAUGGAGGAAGACUGUCCAUUGCUGGCCAGGCGCUCCCCAGACCGCCCCAGUUGGUCCCUGGUGCUGGCAUCUUGGCACCAAAGCAGACCAUCAGUUUUUCUUGGAGCACAGAGAGCCCCCGGAUCUUCGCCUGGCUUCUUCUCUGAAUGCUACGGCUCACCUUCCACUUGGCCAUCAGCCUGGGUCUACUUGGCUGAGUUUGUUAGAAUAAAUUUGUUCCAAGAUGAGAAAUCUCUUCCUUAGUGCCCCAGUUACCCUUAAUCUCUUCCAUGGUAAUAGGCUUGAUCCUUGAUUUAGAAAUAGGGCGCAGAACCAGGAACAUGAGUAGUGAUUACAAAGAGUCAAGUUUAGUUUAUAUAAUAGCAAAAAGCUAUAAAAAAGUAGAGCUGUCCAAUAGUGGACUAGACUGCCUCAGGAGGCUGUGGACUCCCCCUGAUUGGGGAGGUUCCAAGCAAAGGGUGAAUGACCACUUGUUGGGUAUGUGGAAAUAUUCAUUUUUGAGCUUGAUAA